UGUGCUAAUACCGCAUCAUCUCUCAGGAGAAAAGCAGGGGAUCGCAAGACCUUGCGCUUUAGGAGCGGCCGAUGCCUGAUUAGCUUGUUGGUAAGGUAAAAGCUUACCAAGGCUUCGAUCAGUAGCUGGUCUGAGAGGACGACCAGCCACACUGGGACUGAGACACGGCCCAGACUCCUACGGGAGGCAGCAGUGGGGAAUUUUGGACAAUGGGGGAAACCCUGAUCCAGCCAUGCCGCGUGAGUGAAGAAGGCCUUCGGGUUGUAAAGCUCUUUCAGCCGGAACGAAACGGU
rnacentral:rRNA from 1 species